CGAAGGCCCCUUCGGGGGCCGAGUAGAGUGGCGCACGGGUGAGUAACACGUAGGUAAUCUACCUCUGGGUGGGGAAUAACGACCGGAAACGGUCGCUAAUACCGCAUAAUGCAGCGGCACCACAUGGUGACAGUUGUUAAAGCGGGGGAUCGUAAGACCUCGCGCCUAGAGAUGAGCCUGCGGCGGAUUAGCUAGUUGGCAGGGUAACGGCCUACCAAGGCGACGAUCCGUAGCCGGCCUGAGAGGGCGGACGGCCACACUGGCACUGACAUACGGGCCAGACUCCUACGGGAGGCAGCAGUCGGGAAUUCUGGGCAAUGGGCGAAAGCCUGACCCAGCAACGCCGCGUGAAGGAUGAAGCUUUUCGGAGUGUAAACUUCAUAAGAAUGGGACGAAUAAGGAGGGGUUAACACCCCCUUUGAUGACGGUACCAUUUGUAAGCUCCGGCUAACUCCGUGCCAGCAGCCGCGGUAAUACGGGGGGAGCAAGCGUUG
rnacentral:rRNA from 1 species